rnacentral:rRNA from 1 species
GAUUAUAAUUACGCUAUUACUGAUUCACCCCCCCUCUGAGUAAUCCAACACGGAUCCCAUUAGAACUCUGCAGUUAAGCGUGCUCAGGCUAGAGUAGUACUGGGAUGGGUGACUGCCCAGGAAGUCCUAGUGUUUUACAUG